rnacentral:rRNA from 1 species
CUACGUGCCAGCAGCCGCGGUAAUACGGGGGGUGCGAGCGUUAAUCGGAAUAACUGGGCGUAAAGGGCACGCAGGCGGUGACUUAAGUGAGAUGUGAAAGCCCCGGGCUUAACCUGGGAAUUGCAUUUCAUACUGGGUCGCUAGAGUACUUUAGGGAGGGGUAGAAUUCCACGUGUAGCGGUGAAAUGCGUAGAGAUGUGGAGGAAUACCGAAGGCGAAGGCAGCCCCUUGGGAAUGUACUGACGCUCAUGUGCGAAAGCGUGGGGAGCAAACAGGAUUAGAUACCCUGGUAGUCCACGCUGUAAACGAUGUCGAUUUGGGGGUUGGGCUUUAAGCUUGGCGCCCGUAGCUAACGUGAUAAAUCGACCGCCUGGGGAGUACGGCCGCAAGGUUAAAACUCAAAUGAAUUGACGGGGGCCCGCACAAGCGGUGGAGCAUGUGGUUUAAUUCGAUGCAACGCGAAGAACCUUACCUACUCUU